rnacentral:rRNA from 1 species
GGGUUGUGAGGUUAAGCGACUAAGCGUACACGGUGGAUGCCCUGGCAGUCAGAGGCGAUGAAGGGCGUGCUAAUCUGCGAUAAGCGCCGGUAAGGUGAUAUGAACCGUUAUAACCGGCGAUACCCGAAUGGGGAAACCCAGUGUGUUUCGACACACUAUCAUUAACUGAAUCCAUAGGUUAAUGAGGCGAACCGGGGGAACUGAAACAUCUAAGUACCCCGAGGAAAAGAAAUCAACCGAGAUUCCCCCAGUAGCGGCGAGCGAACGGGGAGGAGCCCAGAGCCUGAAUCAGCAUAUGUGUUAGUGGAAGCGUCUGGAAAGGCGCGCGAUACAGGGUGACAGCCCCGUACACAAAAGCGCAUGUGCUGUGAGCUCGAUGAGUAGGGCGGGACACGUGGUAUCCUGUCUGAAUAUGGGGGGACCAUCCUCCAAGGCUAAAUACUCCUGACUGACCGAUAGUGAACCAGUACCGUGAGGGAAAGGCGAAAAGAACCCCGGCGAGGGGAGUGAAAAAGAACCUGAAACCGUGUACGUACAAGCAGUGGGAGCCCCACCACUAAGCCAGUGGUGAACUCCACAUACGCAUCCUUUGCUGAGGAUACGGUUAACGGAGCGAAAGCGACGUUCAACCUCAAAAGAAGCAGAGGGGGCUUAGUGGUGGGGUGACUGCGUACCUUUUGUAUAAUGGGUCAGCGACUUAUAUUCUGUAGCAAGGUUAACCGAAUAGGGGAGCCGGAGGGAAACCGAGUCUUAAUUGGGCGUUAAGUUGCAGGGUAUAGACCCGAAACCCGGUGAUCUAGCCAUGGGCAGGUUGAAGGUUGGGUAACACUAACUGGAGGACCGAACCGACUAAUGUUGAAAAAUUAGCGGAUGACCUGUGGCUGGGGGUGAAAGGCCAAUCAAACCGGGAGAUAGCUGGUUCUCCCCGAAAGCUAUUUAGGUAGCGCCUCGUGAAUUCAUCUCCGGGGGUAGAGCACUGUUUCGGCUAGGGGGCCAUCCCGGCUUACCAACCCGAUGCAAACUGCGAAUACCGGAGAAUGUUAUCACGGGAGACACACGGCGGGUGCUAACGUCCGUCGUGAAGAGGGAAACAACCCAGACCGCCAGCUAAGGUCCCAAAGUCAUGGUUAAGUGGGAAACGAUGUGGGAAGGCCCAGACAGCCAGGAUGUUGGCUUAGAAGCAGCCAUCAUUUAAAGAAAGCGUAAUAGCUCACUGGUCGAGUCGGCCUGCGCGGAAGAUGUAACGGGGCUAAACCAUGCACCGAAGCUGCGGCAGCGACACUAUGUGUUGUUGGGUAGGGGAGCGUUCUGUAAGCCUGCGAAGGUGGCCUGUGAGGGUUGCUGGAGGUAUCAGAAGUGCGAAUGCUGACAUAAGUAACGAUAAAGCGGGUGAAAAGCCCGCUCGCCGGAAGAC